AGUGAACGCUGGCGGUAGGCCUAACACAUGCAAGUCGAACGGCAGCACAGUAAGAGCUUGCUCUUACGGGUGGCGAGUGGCGGACGGGUGAGGAAUACAUCGGAAUCUACUUUUUCGUGGGGGAUAACGUAGGGAAACUUACGCUAAUACCGCAUACGACCUACGGGUGAAAGCAGGGGAUCUUCGGACCUUGCGCGAUUGAAUGAGCCGAUGUCGGAUUAGCUAGUUGGCGGGGUAAAGGCCCACCAAGGCGACGAUCCGUAGCUGGUCUGAGAGGAUGGAUCGGCACACUGUAACAGAGGCACGGUCCAGACUCCUACGGGGGGCAGCAGUGCAGAAUACUGCACGAUGGGCGCAUGCCUGAUCCUGCCCUACCGCGUGGGUGAAGAAGGCCUUCUGGUUGUAGAGCCCUUUUGUUGGGAAAGAUGUGCAGCAGUUUAAUCCCCCGCUGUUCUGACGGUACCCAAAGAAUAAGCACCGGCUAACUUCGUG
rnacentral:rRNA from 1 species